CCAGUCCCUCCCCGCCCACCCUAACCCUUCACCGCACUCCGCGUCUCUGCUAUGACUGGAAACUGGCAGGGUAGCAGCGGAGGAGGGUGGGCGUUUGCGUGUGUGUGUGCGCGCGCGUGUGUGUGUGCGAGCGCGUGUUGUUUUUAAAACCCUUGGACCGGACUGGAUCGGUACUCAAACAUCAUAGCGAGCGCAAUGCACCUUAUCGGAGACAAAGGAAAAAGCCUCCCCAGAAGCUUUUCCGGCCCUGGCUGCGGAUGGAACGUUGACGAGAGACAAAGUCUCCUUUGGCUGCCGAUCCAUUGAUUUGUAACGUUCUAGAACGCGCUGGGAGUUCUGCGCUCUGGAGGAGUAACCAGGCGUUCUACCGGAUCUGCAAUGGCAAAAGAAUUCGAGACGUGGAAGGAAGGGUGGACGAGGGAGACAAAGCAUGCCUCCAGUGUUUAAAACGGCCUCCCCUUCUUGAACUUUAAAUCAAAACCGACAUAAAUACACCCAGUAUUUUGUCCA